UUUUUUAACUGUGUAAUGCUUAAGGUGUCCAGCAGGAAACAGUAAAUCUGUGGAAGUGCUUCCAAUUGAAAAUGAGCCCAUGCCUGCAAUACUGAUGCUACUGUCCCAGACUGUUAUAUGUGGACAUUUUAGUAACAACUGUUGCCUAAAAAUCUCAGCUCCACACAUGAUCUGACCCAAAGCCAAUCCAAGUGGUGGACAGCAGGCAUCUUUCCCACCCAAAACUAAGUCCUAUUUCACGUGGCCUUUGGAUUUUUGGGUUGUUUGAUCUGUAUGGUUUAUUACUUUAAUUAAAUAUAGGAACAUAGGAUUUUCUUGUUAUGUUCUAUACUGGAAAAGCUCUUUAUAUUAAUAUUCAGUCUUUUAACAUUUGCUAUCAAAACAAGGCUUGAAAAUUGUUCUUAAUGAUGAUUGAUAAUUCUGUGUUUAAUCUUGUCACACCCUCCGGCAUCUUUACCAAUGAUGCACAGUUAAUGCUUUUCUCUCACCUCAUUUUAUCAUUGGAACAAAUCAAACUAUUCACACUGAACAGUGUUUAGAUUAACAUUUAACUGAUAAAUUCCUAUGCUAUUUACUGCCAUUAUUUGUUUGCUGUUUUUUGGAAGCUGCAUAUAGUCUUCUCUGGGCUUGCGCUAAGUGGCAAAGGCAAAACAGUUGGAAAUGAUGAUGACGUGCUGCCAUUUACUUGCAAGAAGAGUGAAGAACACAGUGAAGCAGAAGUUAGGAGGAAUAAAUAAACCUGUAAGUCAC
rnacentral:lncRNA from 1 species